rnacentral:misc_RNA from 1 species
UCUCCGUUGGUGAACCAGCGGAGGGAUCAUUACCGAGUUUACAACUCCCAAACCCAUGUGAACAUACCUAUCGUUGCUUCGGCGGGAUGCCCCCGGCGCCUCUGUGUGCCCGGGAGUCAGGCCUCCGCCGGAGGACCCAAACUCUUGUUUUUAUAUAGAACUUCUGAGUGGAUUAUUUUAAUAAUUAAAACUUUCAACAACGGAUCUCUUGGCUCUG